rnacentral:tRNA from 1 species
GCCGACGUAGCUCAGUUGGUAGAGCUCCACUCUUGUAAAGUGGUUGUCGCCGGUUCGAAUCCGGCCGUCGGCU